AAAACAUGUCUUGAAUGUGUAUUUAUUUCAAGUCGGGCCUGCUCAAUGAUUAAAUCCUUAAUUUAUUAAAUAGCCGCAGUAUUUUGACUGUGCGAAGGUAGCAUAAUCAUUUGUCUUUUAAUUGAAGGCUUGUAUGAAGGGUUUGACAAAAUGUAAUCUUUCUUUACAUUAUUAUUAUAAACUUAAUUUUUAAGUUAAAAGGCUUAAAUGGUUUUGUAGGACGAGAAGACCCUAUAGAAUUUUAAUAUAUUCAUUGGAUUUUAUUAUUGGUUUAUUUAUUUUAUUAUAUAUUGUAUUUAUUUUUGUUGGGGUGACAGGGAAAUUUUAUGAACUUUCUUUAUUUAUUUUAUAAUGAUUAUUAUUUUAUAGAUCCUGUAUUUGGAUAAUAAGAUUAAAUUACCUUAGGGAUAACAGCGUAAUUUCUUCUGAGAGUUCUUAUUGAUGAAGGAGUUUGCGACCUCGAUGUUGGAUUAAAAUAAGUUUAUUAGUGCAGCUGCUAUA
rnacentral:rRNA from 1 species